AUUGUACUCCCUCCGUUCGGAAUUACUUGUCUCGGAUAUGGAUGUAUCUAGAACUAGUUCUAGAUACAUCCAUAUCCGAGACAAGUAAUUCCGAACGGAGGGAGUAUCUU
rnacentral:pre_miRNA from 1 species